rnacentral:rRNA from 1 species
UAGGCUGCAACUCGCCUACAUGAAGUCGGAAUCGCUAGUAAUCGCGGAUCAGCAUGCCGCGGUGAAUACGUUCCCGGGCCUUGUACACACCGCCCGUCACACCAUGAGAGUUUGUAACACCCAAAGCCGGUGGGGUAACCUUUUGGAGCCAGCCGUCUAAGGUGGGACAGAUGAUUGGGGUGAAGUCGUAACAAGGUAGC